AAACCAUGCAUCGGGCAUUUUCUAAUUAAUUCCUUGAACCGCUCUUAAGCUUUAUACAAUGUCUUAUCCUUAGAUUGCCGAAAAGAUGUAAUAUCAUUCCUUAAUUU
rnacentral:snoRNA from 1 species